CUCCAAUAGCGUAUAUUUAAGUUGUUGCAGUUAAAAAGCUCGUAGUUGGAUUUCGGGUGGGUUGUAGCGGUCAGCCUUUGGUGAGUACUGCUACGGCCACCUUUCUGCCGGGGACGUGCUCCUGGGCUUAACUGUCCGGGACACGGAAUCGGCGAGGUUACUUUGAGUAAUUAGAGUGUUCAAGCAAGCCUACGCUCUGA
rnacentral:rRNA from 1 species